rnacentral:lncRNA from 1 species
CGGGGGUGACUUCCUCCACAGGCGGUCUCCAUCAGCGGGCUGUUGGUUCCAUUGGGUUAGGGGUUGAGUUUGGCAGGUGGUUGGCGGGAGGUCUUUGGCGAGAACCGGCAACGUAGUUUAGUGUAGAUGGAAAGGGUCUUGCUAAGGGAGAGGACGGGAGCCUAAGGUUGGCGCGUAAUGUCUGAGGAAUCGUGAAUUGUGAUGUUAGGGGAGGAGGGGCCAGGCUUUUGGAGUUUUGGUAAUGGAAGAGGUUGGUGGCUAGCAAAGGGAUGUCAUACGUCUACUUGCGCGCCAUAGAACGUCGGACGGCACAUCUUGACGCGCCCAUAGCUGCGAGGUGCAAUCAUGGGC